CGUAGGGUGCGAGCGUUAAUCGGAAUUACGGUGGGCGUAAAGCGUGCGCAGGCGGUUAUAUAAGACAGAUGUGAAAUCCCCGGGCUCAACCUGGGAACUGCAUUUGUGACUGUAUAGCUAGAGUACGGCAGAGGGGGAUGGAAUUCCGCGUGUAGCAGUGAAAUGCGUAGAUAUGCGGAGGAACACCGAUGGCGAAGGCAAUCCCCUGGGCCUGUACUGACGCUCAUGCACGAAAGCGUGGGGAGCAAACAGGAUUAGAUACCCUGGUAGUCCACGCCCUAAACGAUGUCAACUGGUUGUUGGGUCUUCACUGACUCAGUAACGAAGCUAACGCGUGAAGUUGACCGCCUGGGGAGUACGGCCGCAAGGUUG
rnacentral:rRNA from 1 species